UUGACAUCCAGCGAACUUUCCAGAGAUGGAUUGGUGCCUUCGGGAACGCUGAGACAGGUGCUGCAUGGCUGUCGUCAGCUCGUGUUGUGAAAUGUUGGGUUAAGUCCCGNAACGAGCGCAACCCUUAUCCCUUGUUGCCAGCGAUUCGGUCGGGAACUCAAAGGAGACUGCCGGUGAUAAACCGGAGGAAGGUGGGGAUGACGUCAAGUCAUCAUGGCCCUUACGAGUAGGGCUACACACGUGCUACAAUGGCGCAUACAAAGAGAAGCGACCUCGCGAGAGCAAGCGGACCUCAUAAAGUGCGUCGUAGUCCGGAUCGGAGUCUGCAACUCGACUCCGUGAAGUCGGAAUCGCUAGUAAUCGUGGAUCAGAAUGCCACGGUGAAUACGUUCCCGGGCCUUGUACACACCGCCCGUCACACCAUGGGAGUGGGUUGCAAAAGAAGUAGGUAGCUUAACCCUCGGGAGGGCGCUUACCACUUUGUGAUUCAUGACUGGGGUGAAGUCGUAACAAGGUAGGCGUAGCGAG
rnacentral:rRNA from 1 species